CAUCUACUCUUCCAAACUUUAACUUUCUCCUUCUCACAAUUGCCCUAACACAUUCAGAUCAGAUAACCCUAAGCCCACACACGAAGCGACAAUUGCUCUCUAAGCCCUCCAGAUCAGACAACCCUAACCUUGUCUUCAUUGUGCCUCACGAAGAAUCCCCUAACCGCGAUGAGGAAUAUCAGAUCGAAGAACCCCUAACCUUUCUUCAUUGUGCACUCCCCGAAGAACGUUGCCGGCGCGCGCGAUACUUUUGUCGGCAAUCCCUCUUCCGACCCGUAACCCUCCUUUAAGUUUCUUCUCUCUUUUCUCGACACUCUCUCCCUCAAGCUCACUGUGGCUCACCUCUCUCACGGCUGGUCUCGCCGUCGACCCCUCUCUCUCCGGUUUCACGCUUCUCUCGCGCCCGUUUCAGACUCAAGCUCGUCGCGCUCUGUCACCAUUGCAAGCUCGUCUUUUUGCGUCGGCCGUCAACGCUUCCUUCGUCAUGAGUUGGUCCUGGGUUGGUAAAUUAGGAACUGGGAGGAUGAAAUUGAGUUAGAUGGAGAAGUGAUUGAAUUGAGUUACCGCGGCUCGUAUCCCUGGUGGCAAUUGCUGAGAGGAAGUGUAGAGAGAAGCUCAGCCAGAGCUUCAUUGCUUUAUCUGCCCUUGUUCCUGGUGUUCACUACUAUGGCAUUCAUCUUGUUCGCUGAAGAGAAUGUUGACAUUGCUGUUGUUGAGGCUGGUUUAGGGGGUGCUCGGGAUGCAACGAAUGUUAUAUCCUCAGUUAGGUGUUUCUCUCCAUGAUCUUAUUUUCUCAAUAAUAAGAUAUCUAAACUUGAAAUGAAAUGACGUUUUUCUUGGAGACAAAACACGCUACAACUGCAUAGAUACUAAAUUGAGGACUAUUGACAAGGAUACAAUCCAAUUCUUAUGUACAUGACUAAAUGCAAUAGUAGCUGCAUUGAAAUUAUUUUGUCCUACUCCAAUUACUCAAUGCUCAUUAAAAAGAAGCAUAUUUAAAUUAGCUAGAGAGCUUUCCAUCUUUGCCUUUAGGAACUGUCGUUUGUUUAAUCCUUGCAUUCUAUACGUAAAAUAGACCAGAAAUAGUUAUUGAUAUGAAAUAUCCUUUCAUUUAUGUCUUAAUUUAAAGCAUAAUAACAUUUUUUGAGAGAAAAAUACCCUAAAAUGUCUGCAAAGUGGCAAAACAGGGAUCUUAUGUUGCUGUGACAGCUAAAUAGGAUUUCCUUUUUGUCGGAUGGAUUGGACCUAUCU